rnacentral:rRNA from 1 species
CCUACGGGAGGCAGCAGUAGGGAAUAUUCCACAAUGAGCGCAAGCUUGAUGCAGCGACACAGCGUGCACGAUGAAGGUCUUCGGAUUGUAAAGUGCUGUUAUAAGGGAAGAACAUUUGCACUAGGUAAUGAUUGCAGACUGUCGGUACCUUGUCAGCCAGCGAUGGCUAACUAUGUGCCAGCAGCCGCGGUAAUACAUUGGUCGCAAGCGUUAUCCGGAAUUAUUGGGCGAAAAGCGUUCGUAGGCUGUUUGUUAAGUCUGGGGUUAAAUCCCGGGGCUCAACCCCGGCGCGCGUUGGAUACUAGUAAACUAGAGUGAGAUAGAGGUAAGCGGAAUUCCAGGUGAAGCGGUGAAAUGCGUAGAUAUAAGGAAGAACACCAAAGGCGAAGGCAGCUUACUGGGUCUAUACUGACGCUGAGGGACGAAAGCGUGGGGAGCGAACAGGAUUAGAUACCCCGGUAGUC